rnacentral:rRNA from 1 species
UACGGGAGGCAGCAGUGGGGAAUAUUGCACAAUGGGCGCAAGCCUGAUGCAGCCAUGCCGCGUGUAUGAAGAAGGCCUUCGGGUUGUAAAGUACUUUCAGUCGUGAGGAAGGUGUUAAGGUUAAUAACCUUAGCAAUUGACGUUAGCGACAGAAGAAGCACCGGCUAACUCCGUGCCAGCAGCCGCGGUAAUACGGAGGGUGCGAGCGUUAAUCGGAAUUACUGGGCGUAAAGGGCACGCAGGCGGUUAAUUAAGUUGGAUGUGAAAUCCCCGGGCUUAACCUGGGAAUGGCAUUCAAGACUGGUUAGCUAGAGUCUUGUAGAGGGGGUAGAAUUCCAUGUGUAGCGGUGAAAUGCGUAGAGAUGUGGAGGAAUACCGGUGGCGAAGGCGGCCCCUGGACAAAGACUGACGCUCAUGUGCGAAAGCGUGGGGAGCAAACAGGGAUUAGUACC